rnacentral:tRNA from 1 species
GGGUGUAUAGCUCAGUUGGUUAGAGCGUCACGUUGACAUCGUGAAGGUCACUGGUUCGAAUCCAGUUAUACCCACCA